GUUUUCUUAUGAAGAUAGUAAACUCAGAGUACCUCCUCCACACUAAGGUCACAUCAGCCUUCUAAUCCCAGACCUCUGAAUCACUGCCUACAUCUCAGAUUUGUUCAGUGAUCUAAAUAGCUAGCUAGUUACAUUCAUUAAAAAUGCCAACAAGUGUGGAUGAGACCAAUGCAGCUGUACAUGUUGUUGUAAGUCCACAUACAGAAA